AUGAACGCUGGCGGCGUGCCUAAUACAUGCAAGUCGAGCGAACAGAUGAGGAGCUUGCUCCUCUGACGUUAGCGGCGGACGGGUGAGUAACACGUGGAUAACCUACCUAUAAGACUGGGAUAACUUCGGGAAACCGGAGCUAAUACCGGAUAAUAUAUUGAACCGCAUGGUUCAAUAGUGAAAGACGGUUUUGCUGUCACUUAUAGAUGGAUCCGCGCCGCAUUAGCUAGUUGGUAAGGUAACGGCUUACCAAGGCAACGAUGCGUAGCCGACCUGAGAGGGUGAUCGGCCACACUGGAACUGAGACACGGUCCAGACUCCUACGGGAGGCAGCAGUAGGGAAUCUUUCGCAAUGGGCGAAAGCCUGACGGAGCAACGCCGCGUGAGUGAUGAAGGUCUUCGGAUCGUAAAACUCUGUUAUUAGGGAAGAACAAAUGUGUAAGUAACUAUGCACGUCUUGACGGUACCUAAUCAGAAAGCCACGGCUAACUACGUG
rnacentral:rRNA from 1 species